UUCAAAGAUGUGCAUUCUAUUAGAUAAAAUGUCUUUCUUAUAUUCCAGGGACCUUAUUCAAUUCUCUGUUCACUGAAAAUCAGAUUGUAUUGUAUUUGCAGAACAAUAGGUCCCAGCUCACCGUUUAUCCCCUGAUCUGUUGGAUGUGGAGCGGUGACAUCUCAAAAUGACAUCAUAUCAUGUUGGAUAAAAGAAAGAAACCAGAGAAGUCACAAUUCACUUUGGCACUAAGUCAGCAGAAAGCAGCAGCAUCACUGUGGAAUCCAAUCAAGUUAUUUCUACUCAUUGACUUCUGCUUUUGGGGAUCAAGACUUGCUAACUUCAAAGCCUGAGUUCAGUUGAAUGAAGAAGACUGCUUUUUAUGCUUUGUUCUGCAUUAAAGAUUUGAGGAGAAUCUUUGACUAAACAUACAUAAAUAUCUGGCUUCAAAUAACAACUUUUCUGGUAAGUGUGGGAAUGGAAUUUUGUUGUUGUUGCAAUAUUAACCUCCCUAGAGAUCACUCCAAAAGUAAUGCUUCCUAUUUAUUUCCAUGGAAUCUACAACAAAAAUGAAGAGCACAACAGCAGUAUUUGAUAGAGCAAAUUCUGAGCAACUAAAUGCUAGUUUUCAACACAGUCACCACCAUUAGCUAUGCCUCCAGAGACAAACAAGAACCUGCAUGCCAUGCUCAUAAAAAUCUGCACCAGUGGAGGUGAUCCACUGUCACCACUGCUGAAAUGUACCACCCACCAGCUCACUGUGCCCACAUCCACUGUUUGGUCUCCAUAAACUCUUAUCAAGAGUCAAUGGACAUC
rnacentral:lncRNA from 1 species